UACGGGGGGGGCAAGCGUUGUUCGGAAUUACUGGGCGUAAAGGGUUUGUAGGUGGCCCGCUAAGUCACACGUGAAAUCCCUCAGCUUAACUGGGGAACUGCGUGUGAGACUGGCAGGCUCGAGGGCAGGAGAGGAACGCGGAAUUCCAGGUGUAGCGGUGAAAUGCGCAGAUAUCGGGAGGAACACCUAUUGCGAAGGCAGCUCGCUGGGACGUUACUGACGCUGAGACGCGAAAGCGUGGGGAGCAAACAGG
rnacentral:rRNA from 1 species